CCUACGGGGGGCAGCAGUGAGGAAUAUUGGUCAAUGGGCGCGAGCCUGAACCAGCCAAGUCGCGUGAGGGAAGACGGCCCUACGGGUUGUAAACCUCUUUUGCCGGGGAGCAACGGGCGCCACGUGUGGCGCCACUGAGAGUACCCGGAGAAAAAGCAUCGGCUAAUCCCGUGCCAGCAGCCGCGGUAAUACGGGGGAUGCGAGCGUUAUCGGGAUUUAUUGGGUUUAAAGGGUGGGAAGGGGGAGCUUUAAGCAAGUGUGAAAAUUGAGGGGCUCAACCCCUUCCCGCCAUUGAAACUGGCGCUCUUGAGUGGAAUAGAGGUAGGCGGAAUGCGUGGUGUAGCGGUGAAAUGCAUAGAUAUCACGCAGAACCCCGAUUGCGAAGGCAGCAUGCCGGCUUCCUACUGACGCUGAAGCACGAAAGCGUGGGGAUCGAACAGGAUUAGAUACCCCUGUAGUC
rnacentral:rRNA from 1 species